CUACGUGCCAGCAGCCGCGGUAAUACGUAGGGCGCGAGCGUUGUCCGGAAUUAUUGGGCGUAAAGAGCUUGUAGGCGGUUUGUCGCGUCUGCUGUGAAAGGCCGGGGCUUAACCCCGUGUAUUGCAGUGGGUACGGGCAGACUAGAGUGCAGUAGGGGAGACUGGAAUUCCUGGUGUAGCGGUGGAAUGCGCAGAUAUCAGGAGGAACACCGAUGGCGAAGGCAGGUCUCUGGGCUGUAACUGACGCUGAGAAGCGAAAGCAUGGGGAGCGAACAGGAUUAGAUACCCUGGUAGUCCAUGCCGUAAACGUUGGGCACUAGGUGUGGGGGACAUUCCACGUUUUCCGCGCCGUAGCUAACGCAUUAAGUGCCCCGCCUGGGGAGUACGGCCGCAAGGCUAAAACUCAAAGGAAUUGACGGGGGCCCGCACAAGCGGUGGAGCAUGUGGUUUAAUUCGAUGCAACGCGAAGAACCUUACCUACUCUUGAC
rnacentral:rRNA from 1 species